AGCAUCCCCAACAUCCUUCAAACACUACACAUUUUCCCAUCAACUCUAACUAAGAAAAAGAAAACCCGGUUCCGGUAACCGUAACCGAAACCAAACACCAUACCGACACCACUUCUCAUUCACCACUAUGCCUCCUAACCACUUAACUAUCUCUACUAAACCACUCGAGACUUAAACCACGGAAAACAUACUACCCGAAACCAUUUCUGGUGAAGAAAUACAAAUUCUGGCGAUACUUACGUACUUUCCGACGACGUCUUUCGUAACCGAAACGUGUUUUUGACCAAGGUUUAUACGAACAUGCUUGACAAGUUUAUAUAUUUUAAGACGACAAUCAAGAAACAAGUUCACGGCGUCCCUAGGUACAAAUGUGGUACAUAGCGACCAGGUGGCGUAUGGAUAUAUCCUAGGUAUGUUUCUGGAGAUGGAUGUCGGGUAGGCCAACCUGCUCCGUCUCAUGUGACAGACUUUGUGGCUGUCACCUCUAUUUAGCUUUUGGGUACAUCCGUAUGACAUGAUUCAGUUCAGUUAUAUGUUAUGUUUUGCUGUGUUGUGCUUCUUGUCAGUAAUAUCAUUUCAGUCAUUUGUUUGCUAUUUGAGCCUAUUAUUCUGUACUGGGCAUUUCGCUCAUUCCGUAUAUUUCAUUUCACUACAGGCUCACAGGUUACUUUGGGCAGGGUGAAGAGUGAAGAAUAAACCCUAGGAUGUUAACCGAAGAUGUUUGUCACUUUUAUAAAAUAAAUAUAUAUUUUAGGUCUGAGGGCUAUGAACCAUAUUUUGAAAUGUAAGCCUAACUUUAAUUAAUGGAAUUAUGACUUCUAUUCUGAUCCGAUGUUACAGUGACACGCCAACCCAUCCGGGUUGGGGUGUUACAACAAGGGUAAGGGUUUGGGCUACAAACAGGUUCCACCGCCAUAUAAUCAUAAUUACUCAAGAUUGCCCACAACUGAGGAAGAAAUAGAAAAUUAUGAUAAAAUGAUUUAUGGUAAACCAAGUGAUUAUGUUCCAUGGGAGCCCUUCAGACCAAAGAAUGCCAGAACCGCUGAUUUUCAAAAACCAAUGAAUUUUGUUAAAAUGCAGAUAAAAAUUGCUCAAACGAAUCAGCUGGGGAAUCUGAAAAGGAAAAUGAAAAAGAAAGAUGAAUCAGAACCAGUAAAGAUGUCAACUGAGGAGUCCCAAGAAGAUUUGUCAAAUUAUGAUUCUGAUUCUGUAGAUAAUGUUAACUGUUUUGGUUCAUGUGCAGAAUCGGUGAUAGUUGAAGAGCAGUCUGCAGUGGAUGACAAAUCACAUUCAAACGUUGCUAAGUUGCUAAUGUUGCUGAUGAUUCGAAUGCUGCUAAACGUGAUCUUGACAUUUGGAACUACGUUAUGUCUUCGUAUGCUGAGAGUCGGGGUGUUCCUACUAAAACUGAUGAAUCUGGUUUUGUGUUUUUAGAUCAUGGUUGUGAUGAAAAUGUUUUAUCAAGGAAAUCUGAUGUAUUCAGUGAUAAACUUGAAACACCUAUUUCAAGUGAUUCAGAAAUCUUUUCUGGUGAUUCAGACAACUAUUCUAGUGUGCCUGAAACAUCAACCGAUACAUCAGAAACUCAUGAACAAGGAUCAUCUGAUGAACCUGACAUUCAAGUUGCAGAUUCUGGUACAUCAGAUAAUGGGUGUGGCGCUUCUCAAAAUUCUGAAUGUGGCAAACACUCAGAUUCAAGUAGUGCCACACCUGAUGUGACAACUCGUAUUUCAGAACCUAUCUUUGUGCUUAGUGUAGCAUGUUUUGAACUUAUGUAUGAGAACUCAGUGUGAUAAUCUGAUAUGUUGAUUCAAUGAAUGUUAUAAGUGAAUGUUAUAUGAAUAUGUUUGUGCUUGUAUGUA